UCCCAUCGGUCUCUGACUCUAGGGAGGGGUCCAGGUCAGGGCUGCAGUGUGGAGGAGAAGAACCCUUGACUUCGGGGGUUUCCGUCUCCUCUUCCUCCAAGUCAGCGUUCCAGAACGUGAGCUCAGAAUUCAUUCCUGGUGACUGGGGAGAUCAUCAGAGAUGUUGAACUUGGGGGACAAGAGCGGAUGGUUGAGACAGAGCCCAGGACUGGAGCCAGGGGGCUGGACGGGGCCCAGGGCCACCAAAAUCAUCCACUAGGACCUUGGCUUUGGUCUCCAAGGAGCAAGCGGGAUCAGCUGUCUGGAGAAGGGUUUGCUGGCUGAACCUGGGGAUGAUGUCACAACACUCU